rnacentral:rRNA from 1 species
AUCUACAGCCAUACCACCCUGAAUGUAGCUGAUCUUGUCUGGUCUCAGAAGCUAAGCAAGGUUGGGCGUGCUUAGUACUUGGGUGGGAGAAAAUAUAAUGUUUUAUGAUCCUUAAACAACAUAUGAAGUGGUAUACU